GACGAACGCUGGCGGCGUGCUUAACACAUGCAAGUCGAACGGAAAGGCCCUGCUUUUGUGGGGUGCUCGAGUGGCGAACGGGUGAGUAACACGUGAGUAACCUGCCCUUGACUUUGGGAUAACUUCAGGAAACUGGGGCUAAUACCGGAUAGGAGCUCCUGCUGCAUGGUGGGGGUUGGAAAGUUUCGGCGGUUGGGGAUGGACUCGCGGCUUAUCAGCUUGUUGGUGGGGUAGUGGCUUACCAAGGCUUUGACGGGUAGCCGGCCUGAGAGGGUGACCGGCCACAUUGGGACUGAGACACGGCCCAGACUCCUACGGGAGGCAGCAGUGGGGAAUAUUGCACAAUGGGCGGAAGCCUGAUGCAGCAACGCCGCGUGCGGGAUGACGGCCUUCGGGUUGUAAACCGCUUUCGCCUGUGACGAAGCGUGAGUGACGGUAAUGGGUAAAGAAGCACCGGCUAACUACGCG
rnacentral:rRNA from 1 species